rnacentral:rRNA from 1 species
GACGAACGCUGGCGGCGUGCUUAACACAUGCAAGUCGAACGAAGUGGCGAACGGGUGAGUAACGCGUAAUCAACCUGCCCUUCAGAGGGGGACAACAGUUGGAAACGACUGCUAAUACCGCAUACUGAAGGAGGGGUUUUCGUCUGAUUAGCUAGUGGGAGGGGUAACGGGCCACCAAGGCGAUGAUCAGUAGCCGUGCUUGGAGGGUGAACGGCCACAUUGGGACUUGGACACGGCCCAGACUGCUACGGGGGGCAGCAGUGGGGAAUCUUCCGAAAUGUGCGAAAGUCUGACGGAGCAACGCCGCGUGGGUGAUGACGGCCUUCGGGUUGUAAAGCUCUGUUAAUCGGGACGCGGUACCGGAAGAGAAAGCCACGGCUAACUACGUGCCAGCAGCCGCGGUAAUAC